GCAACUUUCUGGACCAAUACUGACGCUGAGGUACGAAAGCGUGGGUAGCAAACAGGAUUAGAUACCCUGGUAGUCCACGCCGUAAACGAUGAUAACUAGCCGUUGGGGGGAUUUACCCCUUAGUGGCGAAGCUAACGCGUUAAGUUAUCCGCCUGGGGAGUACGGCCGCAAGGUUAAAACUCAAAGGAAUUGACGGGGACCCGCACAAGCGGUGGAGCAUGUGGUUUAAUUCGAUGCAACGCGAAGAACCUUACCUGGUCUUGACAUCCUGAGAACUUUCUAGAAAUAGAUUGGUGCCUUCGGGAACUCAGUGACAGGUGCUGCAUGGCUGUCGUCAGCUCGUGUCGUGAGAUGUUGGGUUAAGUCCCGUAACGAGCGCAACCCCUAUCCUUAUUUGCCAGCACAUCAUGGUGGGAACUAUAAGGAGACUGCCGGUGAUAAACCGGAGGAAGGCGGGGACGACGUCAAGUCAUCAUGGCCCUUACGACCAGGGCUACACACGUGCUACAAUGGGAAGGACAAAGAGCCGCGAAGCCGCGAGGUGUAGCUAAUCUCAGAAACCUUUUCGUAGUCCGGAUUGGAGUCUGCAACUCGACUCCAUGAAGUCGGAAUCGCUAGUAAUCGUAGAUCAGAAUGCUACGGUGAAUACGUUCCCGGGUCUUGUACACACCGCCCGUCAUACCAUGGGAGUGGGUUGCACCAGAAGUGGCUAGUCUAACUUUAUUGAGGACGGUCACCACGGUGUGAUUCAUGACUGGGGUAAAGUCGUAACAAGGUAGCCGUA
rnacentral:rRNA from 1 species